GCUAACGUAGCUCAGCUGGCAGAGCAGCUGACUUGUAAUCAGCAGGUCGUCGGUUCGAUUCCGACCGUUAGCU
rnacentral:tRNA from 1 species